GGGCCGCUAGCUCAACGGCAGAGCAACUGACUCUUAAUCAGCAGGUUAUAGGUUCGAAUCCUAUGCGGCCCACCA
rnacentral:tRNA from 1 species